GGGCGAUUAGCUCAGUGGGAGAGCACUUCCCUGACACGGAAGGGGUCACUGGUUCAAUCCCAGUAUCGCCCACCA
rnacentral:tRNA from 1 species